UACGUAGGGUGCAAGCGUUGUCCGGAAUCAUUGGGCGUAAAGCGCGCGUAGGCGGCCCUGUAAGCCCGUUGUGAAAGUCAAAGGCUCAACCUUUGAAAGCCGAUGGAUACUGCAGGGCUAGAGUCCGGAAGAGGCGAGUGGAAUUCCUGGUGUAGCGGUGGAAUGCGCAGAUAUCAGGAGGAACACCAAUAGCGAAGGCAGCUCGCUGGGACGGUACUGACGCUAAGGCGCGAAAGCGUGGGGAGCGAACAGG
rnacentral:rRNA from 1 species